rnacentral:rRNA from 1 species
UCCUGGCUCAGAUUGAACGCUGGCGGCAGGCCUAACACAUGCAAGUCGAGCGGUAGCACAGAGAGCUUGCUCUCGGGUGACGAGCGGCGGACGGGUGAGUAAUGUCUGGGAAACUGCCUGAUGGAGGGGGAUAACUACUGGAAACGGUAGCUAAUACCGCAUAACGUCGCAAGACCAAAGUGGGGGACCUUCGGGCCUCAUGCCAUCAGAUGUGCCCAGAUGGGAUUAGCUAGUAGGUGGGGUAACGGCUCACCUAGGCGACGAUCCCUAGCUGGUCUGAGAGGAUGACCAGCCACACUGGAACUGAGACACGGUCCAGACUCCUACGGGAGGCAGCAGUGGGGAAUAUUGCACAAUGGGCGCAAGCCUGAUGCAGCCAUGCCGCGUGUGUGAAGAAGGCCUUCGGGUUGUAAAGCACUUUCAGCGGGGAGGAAGGCGAUAAGGUUAAUAACCUUGUCGAUUGACGUUACCCGCAGAAGAAGCACCGGCUAACUCCGUGCCAGCAGCCGCGGUAAUACGGAGGGUGCAAGCGUUAAUCGGAAUUACUGGGCGUAAAGCGCACGCAGGCGGUCUGUCAAGUCGGAUGUGAAAUCCCCGGGCUCAACCUGGGAACUGCAUUCGAAACUGGCAGGCUAGAGUCUUGUAGAGGGGGGUAGAAUUCCAGGUGUAGCGGUGAAAUGCGUAGAGAUCUGGAGGAAUACCGGUGGCGAAGGCGGCCCCCUGGACAAAGACUGACGCUCAGGUGCGAAAGCGUGGGGAGCAAACAGGAUUAGAUACCCUGGUAGUCCACGCCGUAAACGAUGUCGAUUUGGAGGUUGUGCCCUUGAGGCGUGGCUUCCGGAGCUAACGCGUUAAAUCGACCGCCUGGGGAGUACGGCCGCAAGGUUAAAACUCAAAUGAAUUGACGGGGGCCCGCACAAGCGGUGGAGCAUGUGGUUUAAUUCGAUGCAACGCGAAGAACCUUACCUGGUCUUGACAUCCACAGAACUUUCCAGAGAUGCUUUGGUGCCUUCGGGAACUGUGAGACAGGUGCUGCAUGGCUGUCGUCAGCUCGUGUUGUGAAAUGUUGGGUUAAGUCCCGCAACGAGCGCAACCCUUAUCCUUUGUUGCCAGCGGUCCGGCCGGGAACUCAAAGGAGACUGCCAGUGAUAAACUGGAGGAAGGUGGGGAUGACGUCAAGUCAUCAUGGCCCUUACGACCAGGGCUACACACGUGCUACAAUGGCAUAUACAAAGAGAAGCGACCUCGCGAGAGCAAGCGGACCUCAUAAAGUAUGUCGUAGUCCGGAUUGGAGUCUGCAACUCGACUCCAUGAAGUCGGAAUCGCUAGUAAUCGUAGAUCAGAAUGCUACGGUGAAUACGUUCCCGGGCCUUGUACACACCGCCCGUCACACCAUGGGAGUGGGUUGCAAAAGAAGUAGGUAGCUUAACCUUCGGGAGGGCGCUUACCACUUUGUGAUUCAUGACUGGGGUGAAGUCGUAACAAGGUAACCG